GCCACGCCCCCACGCCGCGUCCCGCUUCCGGCCGGCGGCGUCCCGGUCAGUGUCCAGCGGCAGCGGGUUGGAUGCGGCCAGCGCGACUCAUGAAGGUGUUCGUCACCCGCAGGAUCCCCCCCGAGGGCCGGGCAGUGCUCGCCGGGGCCGCAGACUGUGAGGUGGAGCAGUGGGAUUCAGAUGAGCCCAUCCCCAGGAAGGAGCUGGAGCGAGGCGUGGCCGGGGCACACGGCCUGCUUUGCCUCCUCACGGAGCAGGUGGACAGAACGCUGCUGGACGCCGCAGGAGCCAAUCUCAAAGUCAUCAGCACAAUGUCUGUGGGCGUCGACCACUUGGCUUUGGAUGAAAUCAAGAAGCGUGGGAUCCGUGUGGGCUACACCCCAGAUGUCCUGACAGACGCCACCGCGGAACUCGCUGUCUCCCUGCUGCUCACCACCAGUCGCCGGCUGCCGGAGGCCAUCGAGGAAGUGAAGAAUGGUGGCUGGACCGCGUGGAAGCCCCUGUGGAUGUGUGGCCACGGCCUCACGAAGAGCACCGUGGGCAUCAUCGGGCUGGGGCGCAUAGGCCAGGCCAUUGCUCGGCGGCUGAAGCCAUUUGGUGUCCAGAGAUUUCUAUACUCAGGGCGCCAGCCCAAGCCUCAGGAAGCAGCAGAAUUCCAGGCAGAGUUUGUGCCCACCGCCCAGCUGGCUGCUGAGGCCGAUUUCAUCGUUGUGACCUGCUCCUUAACGCCUGCAACCAAGGGCCUCUGCAACAAGGACUUCUUCCGGCUGAUGAAGAAAACAGCCGUGCUGGUCAACAUCAGCAGGGGGGACGUGGUGAACCAGGACGACCUGUACCAGGCCUUGGCCAGUGGCCAGAUUGCAGCUGCUGGACUGGAUGUGACGACCCCGGAACCACUGCCUACGAGCCACCCUCUGCUGACCCUGAAGAACUGUGUGAUCCUGCCCCACAUUGGCAGUGCCACCCAUGGAACCCGAAACGUCAUGUCCUUGUUGGCAGCCAACAACUUGCUGGCUGGCCUGAGAGGGGAGCCAAUGCCCAGUGAACUCAAGCUGUAACCAGACAGGAAGCACCGAGGGCCAGGCAGACAUGCCCGGGAUGCUGUCGGCUGUGCCAGGCUUGAUUUGGACCCACAGGACAGGAGCCAUGGAAAAGUCCGAUCUGGGCUGAUGCUGCAGAGGGAAGACUGGUGCUGGGAGAUGUGCUUGGAAACAUCUGCGCCAAAAAUUCCUUCACAGGCCCCGCACUGAGAACGGACAACCAGAGCCCAUGGGUGACCUAGACCAUUGGGACACAUUAAAUAUACUCGGCAAAGAGAACAAGGCAAGAAUAACUGGAAGAAGGUGAGUUUUUUGUUGUUAUUGGAAUUUAGUUCUUUAUAUAAUAAAGUCCCUUGUAAAAACAACAGAAUAAAAACCACAAAGAAGGGGCAGGGCAAAUACUUUAAAAAAUGAAAAAGGAAGGAAUAGGAAAAAAAGGCAGAGCACUUAUUGCUUCUCCUCAGCUUUCUCCUUGGUCUCGUCUUCGGACUCCUGUUGUCUUCCACCGAAAGAGCUUCCAGCUUUUGCAGCCACUUCCUCAGCAUUACCGUUUUUGCCCAGUUUUCCUUUCUUUUCUCUCUCUGCAGUCUCUUUCCUGCAUUCUUCAAACUUUGUCUUGAAUUUCUGUGCAUCUUCAGCAUUGGGGAAGCAGAUGGCCAGCUGCUCCACUGGGGGCGCCCGUCAGCAAAGGUGGUAGGGUGUACCAGAGCCAUGCAGUCAUUGCCUGCGCUUGGCGUCAGCUCCAGUCGGCAUGAUAUAGUGGUUGGCGAAUAAUUUCAAGGCCUUGUCCCCCCUCAGGUGGCGGAUGGUCCCUUUCCUUCUGCUCCAGAAGCUUGACAUCACUGGUGCCUCGUUCCUUCCAUUCUGGGAGAUCAUUCUCUGAAGAGAAUCAGAACAGCUUUGCCCACAUUUUGAAAAGCUCCUCUUCGUCUUCCAGCGUUUUAAUUUCUUGAUCAGGAAGAGAAACUAUAGGCUCAAACUGAGGGUUGUGGUUGGACUCGUCUGCAUUCUCGGUGGAGGUACUGUGGUCCUCAUGGAUGUCCUUGGCGACCACCAUGGUGGCAUGGCUGGCUCAGUCUGCUGGCUCCAGGGCCUCCACAGCUCUUAAUUUUUACUUCAAAAUUAGUUUUAGCACCAUCACACUUGGCUCCCUUUGUCUAUCUUGUCCUCAUCCCCACUCCCCCCAGGUGGAUGGGUACCCUUUUUCUAAUCGCCACCUCACUCCUCCCAAAAGCCCUCCUCCUGCUGAGGCAGGCAGGCUCCAGCCCUCCCCACAGCCAAGCCAACUGGCCAGUGGAGUUUUCAAUCUGGGAGGCAGGUAAGGGAGCAGUGGGGGCAUAAGAGUAAGCGAUAAAACUGGGUGGGCUGAGAAAACCUCACACAUGCCCACGGCUCACAGACAGACAGAAGUAGGCAAGGCAGAAGGGACUAAAUUGAAGGAAUUACCAAUAAUGGUUAUUGAGAGCAUUGGAUUAUUUUCUAAAA